rnacentral:lncRNA from 1 species
UCAGACUCUGAGAUCUUUUGAAAGAAAGAUACUUGCACUGUUUUGCCCACCAUAGAUAUUAUAGAAUGGUGACAUAGAUUAUUCCUGACUAUUCUCCAUCACAAGAAGAACAACUAACAACUAUUCAAGAAUAAAACACCACUGAGAGAAUCCUAGAACAUGGUGAUGAGGUUGAAGCACCCUCUGCACCACAGAGAUGAAGACAGACUGCAUUAGAAAGGCAGGAGAGCUGAGACAUAGCUUCAACCACUGUGGAGAGUGUCUUCCAGCCCCACUCCAUCAGAAGGGUUGGAGACAUCUCCUGGAAGCAGUGUAGCCCCCAGCACUGGAACCAAGAAGUGGG